rnacentral:sRNA from 1 species
GAGUUUACGAUCCCCCAUGCUUUUUUCAAAGUUGCUGAGGGGCGGGAAUCUUCGUUGCGGGAAGAAGAAAAGGCAAAUCCGGCCUGGAAGCUGGGGGCCCUGAGCUGAGAGCCAAAGAAGGGCUAUUUCGCUUCCCCUGGACCUCGGAAUCGCCCAGCUAUCUACCCCUGGCUCCUGGAGAAACUUGAGGGAGGGCCCUUGACCCCCGAAUCGGUUUUUCCUGCCUUCCCCAUUGGACCAAUGAUGACCUUCUUUCUCCCCUUAUCGAGUCUUGGGCAAUCAGGGCCUUGGGGUGAGACAGCCAAGCUGCCUGGCCUACCUUCCAAGAAAGCACCCUGUGCUCCUAGCCUGGGGGCUACAGGAAAUGCUUGUCUGCCAUAUGGCAAGAAGCAAAGAAAAGCGUUAAGUUCAAGAUGUACAGCCUGCCCUCCCAGGCCUUUCCUUCUGCAAGCAUCUACGGCUUAGUGCUAAAACAGGCAAUUCCAAAGGUGAAAACGCAGCCAACUGGCUCACCGCAAAGAGUGGUCGGAAGAAGCGCUGCCCCUACACGAAGCACCAGACACUGGAGCUGGAGAAGGAGUUUCUGUUCAACAUGUACCUUACUCGAGAGCGGCGCCUAGAGAUUAGCCGCAGCGUCCACCUCACGGACAGACAAGUGAAAAUCUGGUUUCAGAACCGCAGGAUGAAACUGAAGAAAAUGAAUAGAGAAAACCGGAUCCGGGAGCUCACAGCCAACUUUAAUUUUUCCUGAUGAAUCUCCAGGCGACGCAGUUUUUUCACUUUCCGAGCGCUGGUCCCCUCUCUCUGUCUUCAGCCUCUGCCCAGGAACUCGCACCUGUGCUGGAGCCCUGUUCCUCCCUCCUACACUCGCCAUCUCCUGGGCCGUUACAUCUGUGCAGGGCUGGUUUGUUCUGACUUUUUGUUUCUUUGUGUCUGCUUGGUGCUGGUUUAUUUGUUGUUUUCUGGGAGAAAAAGCCAUAUCGUGCUAAAAUUCUAUAGAGAUAGAUAUUGUCCUAAGUGUCAAGUCGUGACUGGGCUGGGUUUGCUGUCUUGGGGUCCCACUGCUCGAAAUGGCCCCUGUCUUCGGCUGAGCUGGUUUCCUGCCCAGCCUGGGGCAAACCUAGCCGGAAGGCCGAGGUCCCAUUGUUGGCGCUGAGGUGUCUGGCCUGAGGUCAAUGGUGCAAAGG